rnacentral:lncRNA from 1 species
UUGGCGACAAGAAAGCUAUAAAGAGAUUUAGAUGGUAGAUUCCCAAGGCAUAUGUCACAAUGUACCAACCCUGCAGUAAAUAAACUCUAAUCAUGUAGAUAAAACUCAGACCCAAAGUUACGAUCCAUCGCACUGCAGUAUAUGGAGUAGAUUUGUCUAACCAGGACUGGUAGAUCUGCCCGAGUCUUGUGAAAAAUCGAUAGACCACAGAAGGCUUCCCAUGAACAGACUCACCAAUACUGUCCCCUUCUGACAUGGUUGCUUGAUAAGGCAGGAGCUGAGUUAUAACAUCUAAGCAUUGAUAUGCACUGCAGCACCACACUCCUGUCACCUCAG